rnacentral:lncRNA from 1 species
CUGGAAUUCCAGGAGUAAAGGGCCAGAGAGGAACCCCAGGAGCCAAGGGGGAACAAGGAGAUAAAGGAAAUCCCGGGCCUUCUGAGAUAUCCCACGUAAUAGGGGACAAAGGAGAACCAGGUCUCAAAGGAUUCGCAGGAAAUCCAGGUGAGAAAGGAAACAGAGGCGUUCCAGGGAUGCCAGGUUUAAAGGGCCUCAAAGGACUACCUGGACCAGCAGGACCACCAGGCCCCAGAGGAGAUUUGGGCAGCACUGGGAAUCCUGGAGAACCAGGACUGCGUGGUAUACCAGGAAUCAUGGGGAACAUGGGCAUGCCAGG